AAAGAAAUUAUUAUAUUUAGUAUUUUUAUUUUAAGAUUAAAAAGUUUUUUUU
rnacentral:tRNA from 1 species